rnacentral:rRNA from 1 species
UACGUAGGGGGCAAGCGUUAUCCGGAUUUACUGGGUGUAAAGGGAGCGUAGACGGCACGGCAAGCCAGAUGUGAAAGCCCGGGGCUCAACCCCGGGACUGCAUUUGGAACUGCUGAGCUAGAGUGUCGGAGAGGCAAGUGGAAUUCCUAGUGUAGCGGUGAAAUGCGUAGAUAUUAGGAGGAACACCAGUGGCGAAGGCGGCUUGCUGGACGAUGACUGACGUUGAGGCUCGAAAGCGUGGGGGGCAAACAGG